AAUUAUUUGGCUGUUUUCUCCAGGCAGAGCACAUUGCACUCUUCUCUGUACUACCAAGGGUUGGCUGAUCCGUCUGAACCACAGGAGAGGAUGAGCACAUGACUGUGAACGGAUGAGAAAAAAGGUGGCAAAGGAGUGAUUAUGUGUCUUCUCAAGGAUGUUGACAUUUGGAACCUGAUUUCCCCCUUCCACACAUUUCUUCCCCAGGAGCAUGCAUUUCCCAAGCAAUUUCCCAAAAUAUUGCUUAUUAACCAUGGGGCACCUUUGAACAGAACCCAAGAACUUCAUAUCUAAUACCUGUGCUUGCUACAGGAAAUUUUUAAAAAAAGCAAUUCUCCACAAAAGUGAGAAUGGACCACAAACGAAUCACACUUACCAGAGAGACUGAAUAGAUUGAUAGAAUCUGACAUUCAGGCACGCCUCACUGCAGUUAAAUGUUGGCAUCUGAUAGCUUACAGCUGACUAGUUUUCCAAAGAAUUACCUUUGGGCUAAUGGAAACUGCCUCACUAGGGAAGUUACUCCCUCCCAUACAAGCCUGCUGCUGGCUGACUGACUGACAUGUGGUGCAAUAGAGCAGCUUGCCUCAAGAUGGGACCUUUUCUCUGGAGCAAUUUGUGAUCCCUAGUGCCCUGUGGAGUCAGAGUACAGCUAAUAUUCAGUUGAGCCACAUUCCUGCUUAGCAUUUUCCCUGUUCUUUAUUGUUUCCAUCAUCCCCCUUUUUUCAAAGAGCACUUCCUCAAUAAAUCACUUGUAAAAGAAUCCUCUUCUUGAACUCUGCUAGGGAACCCAACAUAAGAUACUUGUUGAUAAAUAGAAUAUCAUGUCUUCAUCAAAA
rnacentral:lncRNA from 1 species